rnacentral:tRNA from 1 species
AAUGGAAUGCCUGAAAAAAGGGUUACUUUGAUAGAGUAAAUAAUAUAGAAAUCUAUUUCCAUUG